AUAUAUGGGCUAUAAUGUAGAUACCACUUGGGAUGGGUUUAUCGUUACCUAUUGUUUCUGAUGGGGCGUUAAUUGGUGUGGCACCCGGAACUCUUCCUCACUUCGGGAAGAUUGGCAAGGGAUAUAAGAAGUUGGGGUUGGGGUUGAUGAUCCACAUGAUGGUGAUGGACCAGGACAGCUCUGGACCUCCUGACUGGCAGCUCCAUCCUCAACCUCCCUUCCUGUCCUUCACACAUGUGCAGGCAGAGGCAGUUUUCUGAAGGAUGGUUAAUGUCAGUACCAACAUGUUGUGAUGGAGGCUUCCACCUGAGCUGAACACAGAAACUUGCACACAGUGAUGGAAGCAGUCGUUCCUGUUCAGCAUUGAUAUGCCGGUAAUGGGUUUGAUGAGCCACAGCAUGGUGAUGGGCAAUCAGCAUCAGGACCAGGGCCGCUCACAAGGAGAACCUCCUGCCCUGCCUCUUCAUCCUCAACCUCCAAUCUUCCUGCUCUUCACACAUGUGCAGGCACAGAGCCAGUUUUCAGAGGGAGGGCUGAUGACACCAGCAACUUCGGAUCUGAACCUGAUCAACCCAGCACCAACCACUGUGCCGCUCCUCCUCUGCCAACUGCACCACAUGGCUCCACCAUCUCAAAAAGGCACAGACACUACUCCACUUCCUGCGAAGGAUGAGAGAAGAGCCGACCUCCCCACAACGGCACUCCCCACCUUCUACAGGGGUGUCAUUGAGAGCAUCCUGACCAGCAGCCUCUCUGUCUGGCAUGGCAGCCGUCAAGCUGAAGACUAGAAGGCAGUACAGAGAGUGGUGAGGACAGCAGAAAAGCUCAUAAGAUCACCCCUACCUGUUCUCCCUACUACCAUCAGGGAAGCGCUAGCCCAGCAUGCGGUGCUGCAAAAGCACACUGGGAAACGACUUCUUUCCACAAGCCAUCAGACUCCUCAACGCACUGAAGAAAACCACAUGAAUAACCAAGGACACGGGAGAAUAUUCCAUGAACACUUCUUUCACCAUGCCACUUACACUUUACUCAUUGCACCUUGUAUACAGCAUCUUCACACCACCUGUAUGAACUCCUCCUGCCGUGUGUGUGUGUCCACUGUGUUUGUGUAUUUAUUGUCCAUCAGUAUGUUAAUCUUAUUAUUGCACACUGUUUGGGUGUCUGUAUUUAUAGUAUGUAUCAGUCUGUAUUUAAUGCCAAUGCCUUAUUUUUAGUUAUUAGUUAAAUGCACAUUGGAGACUGGUCAAACACAAUUUCAAACUUUGUGUUAACCCUCUUGUUGACCGUUCACACUUCAUAGUGUAAAAGUAAACAGAAAUAAAUUCACAUUUCA